UCAUAUGCUUGUCUCAAAGAUUAAGCCAUGCAUGUCUCAGUGCAAGCCGCAUUAAGGUGAAACCGCGAAAGGCUCAUUAAAUCAGUUGUGGUUCCUUAGAUCGUACCCAAGUUACUUGGAUAACUGUGGUAAUUCUAGAGCUAAUACAUGCCGACAGAGUUCCGACCGUCGCGGCGCCCUCGGGUGUCGCGUGCGGGAGGAACGCUUUUAUUAGAUCAAAACCGGCCCGUCGCGGCGCGCUUCGUGCGCGUCCCGAUCGCGGCCCGCGCAAAGACCUGGUGACUCUGAAUAACUUCGAGCUGAUCGCACGGUCUCCGUACCGGCGACGCAUCUUUCAAAUGUCUGCCUUAUCAACUGUCGACGGUAGGUUCCAUGCCUACCGUGGUGGUAACGGGUAACGGGGAAUCAGGGUUCGAUUCCGGAGAGGGAGCCUGAGAAACGGCUACCACAUCCAAGGAAGGCAGCAGGCGCGCAAAUUACCCACUCCCGGAACGGGGAGGUAGUGACGAAAAAUAACGAUACGGGACUCAUCCGAGGCCCCGUAAUCGGAAUGAGAACACUUUAAAACCUUUAAACGAGGAUCAAUUGGAGGGCAAG
rnacentral:rRNA from 1 species